rnacentral:rRNA from 1 species
UACGGGAGGCAGCAGUGGGGAAUAUUGCACAAUGGGCGCAAGCCUGAUGCAGCCAUGCCGCGUGUAUGAAGAAGGCCUUCGGGUUGUAAAGUACUUUCAGUCGUGAGGAAGGUGUUAAGGUUAAUAACCUUAGCAAUUGACGUUAGCGACAGAAGAAGCACCGGCUAACUCCGUGCCAGCAGCCGCGGUAAUACGGAGGGUGCGAGCGUUAAUCGGAAUUACUGGGCGUAAAGGGCACGCAGGCGGUUAAUUAAGUUGGAUGUGAAUCCCCGGGCUUAACCUGGGAAUGGCAUUCAAGACUGGUUAGCUAGAGUCUUGUAGAGGGGGUAGAAUUCCAUGUGUAGCGGUGAAAUGCGUAGAGAUGUGGAGGAAUACCGGUGGCGAAGGCGGCCCCUGGGACAAAGGCUGACGCUCAUGUGCGAAAGCGUGGGGAGCAAACAGGGAUUAGAUACC